UCCACCGUGGUGUAGUGGUAACACGUCAGACUACCAGUCUGGAGACCCGAGUUCGAUGCUCGGCGGUGGAA